GAGUUGGAGCUCGGUAAACAUUUGCUGUGGACUGAAAGCAGUUCAAUCCCCCCUCUUCAGCGUGGUUUCUUGACUUCCGGUGCCCCAGGUGACCCUCUGAAAACCUGGAUUGACAACCGCUGCCAGUGGAGGAGCCCAUCUUCCCAAGCCUACGCAUGGAUCCCUGGAGGACUCAGGCUAUGAACAAACCCACAUUCACCGCAGGCUGCUCUUCGGGACUGCCUGGCGGGGCCAGGACUCACAGGAGACUAUCACUUUGAAAAGCAAAGACAGUGCCUUUAUUCACUAUGAGGGAUCUUGGGGCCGCUAACCUAGAUCAAGAGAAGCCUGAGGUGCACAGAGCUCCCCCUUCCCCUCCAUCAGAGGGACGUAAUGCUCCAUUCAUGGAGGACCUGUUAGCCCUAUUUAGCUCCGGAAAAAUAUUCCAGUUAACAAAGGCACAGCCUGCUUAGGGGCAGGAGGGUGGCGCUGGAGAGCUGUGGGAGGACUACAGGACAAGGUCGGGUCC